rnacentral:rRNA from 1 species
UACGUAGGGUGCGAGCGUUAAUCGGAAUUACUGGGCGUAAAGCGUGCGCAGGCGGUUUUGUAAGUCUGUCGUGAAAUCCCCGGGCUCAACCUGGGAAUUGCGAUGGAGACUGCAAGGCUAGAAUCUGGCAGAGGGGGGUAGAAUUCCACGUGUAGCAGUGAAAUGCGUAGAGAUGUGGAGGAACACCGAUGGCGAAGGCAGCCCCCUGGGUCAAGAUUGACGCUCAUGCACGAAAGCGUGGGGAAGCAACAGG